CAGUCACUUCAGGUUGAAAUACCGGUACCCAUAUGAUCACUGCAGUUAAGCAACAUCGAUCCUGGUCAGUACCUAGAUGAGUGAGCGCUUGGGGAUAUCAGCUGGUGUAA